CCUCUUCUUCCUCCUCCUCCUCUUCUUCCUCUUCUUCCUCCUCCGCCUCCUCCUCCUCGGCUGGCUCCGCUUUCUCGGAGAAGCAGUCCGGAUCACCGGCUUCUCGCUUCUCUCCGUCAGCUGCCCCAGAGUCCUUGCCCUCUGAGGAUUUGGUAGGACUGGAAGCCAGAGGCCCCAGGGGGACUGAGGGUCAUUCGAUGGUCGUGUACCGCGUGGGUCACAAACGAACGGACGUACCCGAAGGAGAGUUUGCACAAGAAACACAUCAGGAUGGGCUUCCUCUUGCCGUAGAGCACAAAGCCAUCGAAUUUGGACAGGUCCACAUUGUUGGGAACAUCUUUGGAUACACAGGAGCUUUUGGCAGAACCGUCGCUGUUCAGCAGGUGUCAAGAAAUGAUACUGUGACUACUUGUGGGAGACAGACAACUCUGUGAAGGUGACACCAAGGGCCACUUAUUCACAGCAGGAAAUCACCUGUUAAGAUACAGGUGGAAAAGAAGGACCCCACUUCUGGAUGCACACUGCCUGCCCUGGACAUCCUUUCCACACACGCUGGCCAUGAUGACAGCAGAAUCUUGGACAACUUUGCUAAUAAGCGAAGUGUGGUUCACAGACUAACAGCCUUGUCCUCGCCACAGAGCUUGUGAGAAAUGCACAUUCCCAGCAACUCUCCACUCCAUCACAAUCUGCCUUUCCACACCAGCCCCUGGUAACUGGAAUUACAGCCUGAGACACUCUCUGCUUCCCAUCUUCACCAAGUGGCCAGCUAGUCUGUGUUGGCACCUGUAUCCCUAGGUAACCAGGGAAAGAUGACUUCAUCCCUACCCCGAGCGGCCCCCGGGAGGUGUGGGGAUAACGAUGGACGGGGGACUGGAGCGGUGACAUGCAGAAAUCUCUUCAUCCUGCCUCAUCCUGUAGCUCAAGGACCUCAGGGCAUCCACCACUCUCCCACCCAGCCGGCGGUUGAGCUCACUCUGUUUAUCAGCCAGUCAAUAAGAAAAAGGUAGUUCUUACUUGAAGAGGCAGAAGUCAACUUGGCAGGUCGAUCAGCACUCUGUCUGUAAACACGGUUUCCCGUAAAAUCAAUGAUCUUCAGUUACAGAGGGCAGCCUGGGAACCGAGUGGGUCCCCGCGCUUUCACAGGCAGCCCUCCAGCUGGUAUUCACGCACCUCUCCCAGCCCCCAGCCGCAUGCCUGGUCUCUAUCCCUCAAACACCCUGGACCCCUCCUGCAACCUGCAUGCCUUCCGCUGCUUACACCCACGAACUCCCUUCAACGUCCUGGUGUACAACUUGCAACCUCCACUAUUUUUCUCCAGCAUGCUAUUAUUUUAAGACUUCAGCUAGAUUUUAAUAGAGCACAUCUCACCAAUGACAAAGUUCAAGUGAUGAUACAAGAGUGAUCUUACUAGCAUUCAUUCUUGGGGCUGGGGAUUUAGCUCAGCGGCAUAAGCACCUGCCUUGCAAAUAUGUGGUCGUUAAGUUUGAUCCCAGGUAUAGAUUUAAAAAAAAAAAAAAAGUUUGGUACUAACAUUCAUUCCUGUGCAUGCUGUCCUUAGAAUUAAGCAGUCAUGUACAAAAAAAUUCUGUCACUAUCAAGAACCUCCUAUCCAUUUUCAUCUUCCAAGUUAGAGUCUCACUCCUUUUAGGCCAUUGAAUCUUUAUAAAUAUCAGCCUCUACUUUUCAAAUAUCGUUUAGAAGGGUAAAAAUCCGCCAUGUUAGUUAGGCAUAGUGGCACACAUCUGUAAUCUUAAUACUUGGGAGGCUGAGUCGGGAGGAUCUCGAGUUCAAGACCUAUCUGGGCUACAUUGGGAAACCCUCAAAACACACACACACACAAAGCUUCCCUCUGUUGUCCUGUGGGGCCCCAUCAGGAAAGGCUUGUCUCCCCGUGUAAACUAAACAGAUGUGCUACAAAAGUUCAGUGGUAUUCCUUGAAGGAGACAGGGCUGGGUAAAACCCAACAGAUCCGGGAAGGAUGGGGGGGGUGCAGUUAUGAGGAAGGGAAGGGGAGGGGCUCCUGCUGCUGCUCCAGCUCCCAGAGAGUUAAACAUGAACAGUCGCACUGUGUAAUUUUAAACUGUUAAUUAGCACAGGGUUAAUUAGGCGGUCCUUUCACAAGGGGCUGUUUGGCAGAAAACCAAGAAAGGAAACAAAGGGGAAGGAAAGAAAAACAAAGAGAGAAUAGAGACAGCCAGAGAAACUGCUGCCUCCGUGAAUAACCCAGAGGGCAGGCAUCAUGAGAUGUCAGCCAGCAGGCAGGGCCGCCCGCUCUCAGGGUGCUCCCGCCACCCCUGGGAGAAGCAACAAGCGCCUUCUCACUGCGGCUCUCAGGCAGCGCUGGAGGCCCUUUGACUCAGCACAUUUCUCCAUUCCAGGAAUUCACCCCUAGGAAGCAACCAGACGAUGCAUGGAGAUAAAAGAUCAUUCAUCACAAAAUUUAUAACAGGAAAAAAAAACUUAGAAAUCAUUGGGCCAGAAACAGACUUGGAACAACUCAUAGUACAUACAGGUCUACCCAAAUGCUUCCCUUAUGGAAAUGAUUUACAGGCAUGGGGAGAUGACCAGAUUUCAAAUGAAUAUGAAGCACAUAUAGGCACAUACAUAAGACUUUUAGGUUAAAAUUUUUAUGAUGGUAAUUUCUAGGAGCUCAGGCUACAGGGGCCAUCUUGUUCCCUCCAAAGCUUUUUAAAGUUGAAGGCUUCAAUUUCCAGAUGCCAUCGAUUAAUGAACCAGGCACUGCAUAACGGCAGAUGGGUGCAACUUCACUUUGAACCUCAUAACCACUCUAGGAGGUAGGUAUUAUUUUUAUCCCCAUUUUAAAGAUGGGAAAACUGAGGUUGCAACAUUCUAAAUAACAAAGACAGGCAGUGUGGCUUUGGAGGCUGUGCUCUUAGCCACUCCACUAGGCUUUUCUUUAACGUCUAUUUUGCAAAGAAAACAAUAGACUACCCAACAUUUGCAUUCAACCCCCAUCCUACCCAGUGUUAGGGAUUAAACCAUGAAGCUACCAGCCUCCAUAUUCAAUCUCUCUGCACCCAGGAGCUGUCCUAAGAUCAAGGGCUACCAGAAUGUUAGUGUAAAAGAAUCCUAUACCCUGUCCUACCCCCCCCCCACAAAUGCCCUUUCCUUUCUUGGGAGCAACACUGGGGGACAGUUCAAAGUGGUCUUCUUCACUUAAAUGUCUUCAGCGAGGUGGAAGCAGACAAAGCAGGUAGGGGAAGCUGUAGCAACAAACUACAAAAUGGGUCCUACAUCGUGGAUUUAAAAAAAAAGGAAGAAAGGCAAAUUCUAGAAACUAAAGAUCAGGAAAUGCAUUCACUCAUUCAUUUGAUAGAGGAUGUGCUGUGAACCUACUAUGUGUCAGCAGCUAGCGACUACAGUGGUAACCAGGGCACAUCUUACAGCCUGUGGGCAAACGUGUGUAUCAAUAUUAAGUGGCAAAGACACCCACAAGUAAUGCAAAGUCAGAAAGGGAGACAGUGAUUGUGUAGACACAUCCUUGGGGGUAAGUAAUGUUAUUAAAGGAAUAUACUCAGAUUAUAUACUGUGAGUAUUCUCUAAGUUUAGAACAGAUGUGGCCACUGAUGGGAGAGUGUUUUAGUGGAAUGAUCCUGAGGAACUAUAGCUCCAUGAAGAAAACCCACAUAAAAUAAAAGGAAAAAUAGUAAAGACUUUUUUUUUAAAGAAAAUUAAAGUGUGCCAAAAUUUGUCAUUUCUUUAUAUUGUGAAUAGGAAAUUUGUUUCAAAUAAAGAAG